rnacentral:rRNA from 1 species
GAUGAACGCUGGCGGCGUGCUUAACACAUGCAAGUCGAACGGGAAACAUUUUAUUGAAGCUUCGGCGGAUUUAGCUUGUUUCUAGUGGCGGACGGGUGAGUAACGCGUGGGUAACCUGCCUUAUACCGGGGGAUAACAGCCAGAAAUGGCUGCUAAUACCGCAUAAGCGCACGGAGCCGCAUGGCUCUGUGUGAAAAACUCCGGUGGUAUAAGAUGGACCCGCGUUGGAUUAGCUAGUUGGCAGGGCCGCGGCCUACCAAGGCGACGAUCCAUAGCCGGCCUGAGAGGGUGAACGUACACAUUGGGUCGGAGACACGGCCCAGACUCCUACCGGAGGCAGCAGUGGGGAAUAUUGCACAAUGGGGGAAACCCUGAUGCAGCGACGCCGCGUGAAGGAAGAAGUAUCUCGGUAUGUAAACUUCUAUCAGCAGGGAAGAUAAUGACGGUACCUGACUAAGAAGCCCCGGCUAACUACGUGCCAGCCGCCGCGGUAA